rnacentral:rRNA from 1 species
GCAGUCGCCGCGGUAAUACAGAGGAUGCAAGCGUUAUCCGGAAUGAUUGGGCGUAAAGCGUCUGUAGGUGGCUUUUCAAGUCAGUCGUCAAAUCCCUGGGCUCAACCCUGGACAAGCAGUGGAAACUACCAAGCUGGAGUAUAGUAGGGGCAGAGUGAAUUUCCGGUGGAGCGAUGAAAUGCGUUGAGAUCAGAAAGAACACCAACGGCGAAAGCACUCUGCUGGGCCGACACUGACACUGAGAGACGAAAGCUAGGGGAGCAAAUGGGAUUAGAUACCCCUGUAGUCCCUGUCUCUUAUAC